rnacentral:rRNA from 1 species
UACGUAGGGUGCAAGCGUCGUCCGGAAUUAUUGGGCGUAAAGAGCUCGUAGGCGGUCUGUCGCGUCUGGUGUGAAAAUCCAGGGCUUAACCCUGGACCUGCAUCGGGUACGGGCAGACUAGAGUGCGGUAGGGGAGAUCGGAAUUCCUGGUGUAGCGGUGAAAUGCGCAGAUAUCAGGAGGAACACCGGUGGCGAAGGCGGGUCUCUGGGCCGUUACUGACGCUGAGGAGCGAAAGCGUGGGGAGCGAACAGG